AUGAACCUUUCGCAAGUCGUUUCAGUCCAUAAUGUCAAUUUCCACUGAACUGUGGCGUAAGUUGCGGGAAUAAUCCAUCGUAGGCCUAGCGACACAGAAACUUCCUGGAUUUCUAUAAGUAGCUGCAUUGAUCUGGCUGAUGUAACCAGCAGCACCUUGUAAUCAACCCACCAUCAGUAUCCCAAAGUAAUUAGCCCAUCAAGCCUCUGCGUCUUUUGUAUUCUGAAAGCUUAUUUCAAUCCCUCAAGAUCUUAAAUAUAUUAUCUUUAUUCUGCAUUAGCAAUAGCAGCUCUUAAAGGAUGAAUACCAACUCCAUGCUCGUUGCCCUGUUGAUAGUAACUACUAUUUUGUCGCUGCACAUUACAAAUGCACGCGGUGAAAACCACCAUGGCGCGGUUGGAAACAAGCAUAUUAUAUCCAGAAAGAUGUUGACUGGUCAAGAAGAAGCUGGCACUGUGAAUGAAGGACAGGAUCAGAACAUUGGCGAGAAGAACAACAAUGAAGCAGGCAUGAACGGCAGCAGUUUUCGAGGAAGCUCUGUUGCUAACCAUCACAGCAUACCAAGACGGUGUUUUCCUACCUGGAGCACUGAUCCUAGCCAGCAAUGUUCAGACGAUGGUGGUGACAUCGGCAAUAAACUCGGGAACGGUCACAACUAGGUUUCGGAUUCCUGAAGAGAUCGCGUAUAAACUCUUGAAAGUAACUAAAUAAGUGGCUCGCCGAGGUUAUAUCUCAGAGUUUCCGCAGAUCAAAGGUCCGGACACCAAGAGACUACCUAUACGUUGUAUGUUGCUGAUGAUAUAUGUUGUAUAUAUGAAAAAGGAAAAGCAGAAAAAUAUGACUGGUGCAGUAUACUAUUAUAAUUUCCUUUCAUAUAUGAUGGUGCCUUUCGUA